rnacentral:rRNA from 1 species
GACGAACGCUGGCGGCGUGCUUAACACAUGCAAGUCGAACGGAAAGGCCCUGCUUGCAGGGUACUCGAGUGGCGAACGGGUGAGUAACACGUGGGUGAUCUGCCCUGCACUUCGGGAUAAGCCUGGGAAACUGGGUCUAAUACCGGAUAGGAGCCAUUUUUAGUGUGAUGGUUGGAAAGUUUUUUCGGUGUAGGAUGAGCUCGCGGCCUAUCAGCUUGUUGGUGGGGUAAUGGCCUACCAAGGCGGCGACGGGUAGCCGGCCUGAGAGGGUGGACGGCCACAUUGGGACUGAGAUACGGCCCAGACUCCUACGGGAGGCAGCAGUGGGGAAUAUUGCACAAUGGGCGCAAGCCUGAUGCAGCGACGCCGCGUGGGGGAUGACGGCCUUCGGGUUGUAAACUCCUUUCGCUAGGGACGAAGCUUUUGUGACGGUACCUAGAGAAGAAGCACUGGCUAACUACGUG